AGGGCGGGGUGCUAAUACAUGCAAGUCGAGCGGAUUGAUGGGAGCUUGCUCCCUGAUAUCAGCGGCGGACGGGUGAGUAACACGUGGGUAACCUGCCUGUAAGACUGGGAUAACUCCGGGAAACCGGGGCUAAUACCGGAUAACUCAUUUCCUCGCAUGAGGAAAUGUUGAAAGGUGGCUUCGGCUACCACUUACAGAUGGACCCGCGGCGCAUUAGCUAGUUGGUGAGGUAACGGCUCACCAAGGCAACGAUGCGUAGCCGACCUGAGAGGGUGAUCGGCCACACUGGGACUGAAACACGGCCCAAACUCCUACGGGAGGCAGCAGUAGGGAAUCUUCCGCAAUGGACGAAAGUCUGACGGAACAACGCCGCGUGAGUGAUGAAGGUUUUCGGAUCGUAAAGCUCUGUUGUUAGGGAAGAACAAGUGCCGUUCGAAUAGGGCGGCACCUUGACGGUACCUAACCAGAAAGCCACGGCUAACUACGUGCCAGCAGCCGCGGUAAUACGUAGGUGGCAAGCGUUGUCCGGAAUUAUUGGGCGUAAAGCGCGCGCAGGUGGUUCCUUAAGUCUGAUGUGAAAGCCCACGGCUCAACCGUGGAGGGUCAUUGGAAACUGGGGAACUUGAGUGCAGAAGAAGAAAGUGGAAUUCCAAGUGUAGCGGUGAAAUGCGUAGAUAUUUGGAGGAACACCAGUGGCGAAGGCGACUUUCUGGUCUGUAACUGACACUGAGGCGCGAAAGCGUGGGGAGCAAACAGGAUUAGAUACCCUGGUAGUCCACGCCGUAAACGAUGAGUGCUAAGUGUUAGGGGGUUUCCGCCCCUUAGUGCUGCAGCUAACGCAUUAAGCACUCCGCCUGGGGAGUACGGUCGCAAGACUGAAACUCAAAGGAAUUGACGGGGGCCCGCACAAGCGGUGGAGCAUGUGGUUUAAUUCGAAGCAACGCGGAAGAACCUUACCAGGUCUUGACAUCCUCUGACAACCCUAGAGAUAGGGCUUUCCCCUUCGGGGACAGAGUGACAGUGUGCAUGGUGUCGUCAGCUCGUGUCGUGAGAUGUUGGGUAGUCCCGCAACGAGCGCACCCUUGAUCUUAGUUGCC
rnacentral:rRNA from 1 species